rnacentral:rRNA from 1 species
CCUACGGGGGGCAGCAGGGGGGAAUAUUGGGCAAUGGGCGCAAGCCUGACCCAGCAACGCCGCGUGAAGGAAGAAGGCUUUCGGGUUGUAAACUUCUUUUCUCAGGGACGAAGCAAGUGACGGUACCUGAGGACUAAGCCACGGCUAACUACGUGCCAGCAGCCGCGGUAAUACGUAGGUGGCAAGCGUUAUCCGGAUUUACUGGGUGUAAAGGGCGUGUAGGCGGGAAAGCAAGUCAGAUGUGAAAACCAUGGGCUCAACCUGUGGCCUGCAUUUGAAACUGUUUUUCUUGAGUACUGGAGAGGCAGACGGAAUUCCUAGUGUAGCGGUGAAAGGCGUAGAUAGUAGGAGGAACACCAGUGGCGAAGGCGGUCUGCUGGACAGCAACUGACGCUGAGGCGCGAAAGCGUGGGGAGCAAACAGGAUUAGAUACCCUUGUAGUC